rnacentral:rRNA from 1 species
UACGAAGGGGGCUAGCGUUGCUCGGAAUUACUGGGCGUAAAGGGCGCGUAGGCGGACAGUUUAGUCAGAGGUGAAAGCCCAGGGCUCAACCUUGGAAUUGUCUUUGAUACUGGCUGUCUUGAGUUCGGGAGAGGUGAGUGGAAUGCCGAGUGUAGAGGUGAAAUUCGUAGAUAUUCGGCGGAACACCAGUGGCGAAGGCGACUCACUGGCCCGAUACUGACGCUGAGGCGCGAAAGCUAGGGGAGCAAACAGG